GCCCGGGUGGUGAAAUCGGUAGACACAAGGGACUUAAAAUCCCUCGCUCUAACAGGCGUGCCGGUUCAAGUCCGGCCCCGGGCA
rnacentral:tRNA from 1 species